rnacentral:rRNA from 1 species
GAUGAACGCUGGCGGCGUGCCUGAGAUAUGCAAGUCGAGCGGGAAUUAUUGAAGUCGCAAGACGGAUAUAAUUUCAGCGGCGGACGGCUGAGUAACACGUAAGAAUUUUCCCCAAAGUCUCACACAGCUCACCGAAAGGUGGGGUAAUUUGAGAUGGUCUGUCCCGAUUUAUCGGGAUUGUAAAGCCGCAAGGCGCUUUGGGAUAAGCUUGCGUCCUAUCAGGUAGUUGGUGAGGUAAUGGCUCACCAAGCCUACGACGGGUAGCUGGCCUCAUGAGGGUGGUCAGCCAGAGGGGGACUGAGACACGGCCCCCACUCCUACGGGAGGCAGCAAUCAGGAAUAGUCGGCAAUGGACGAAAGUCUGACCGCGCGACGCCGCGUGUAGGAUGAAGCUUCACAAGAGUGUAAACUACUGUGGUAGGGGAAAAGAAAGGAUGGUACCCUACUAGAAAGCAGCCGCUAACUGCGUGCCAGAAGCGUCGGUAAUACGUGGGCUGCGAGCGUUAUCCGGUGUCAUUGGGCGUAAAGAGUCGUGUAGGUGGGUAUAUAAGUCACCUUUUAAAGCUCUGGGCUCAACCCAGAAAAUUGAGGUGAUACUGUAUGUCUUGAGGUUCCUUUAGGGAGAACGGAAUUGUGGGAGGAGUAGUGAAAUGCGUUGAUACCCACGAGAACUCCAGUGGCGAAGGCGGUUCUCUGGAAGGAUCCUGACACUGAGACACGAAAGUUAGGGGAGCGAAGCAGAUUAGAGACCUGCGUAGUCCUAACUGUAAACGAAUGUAUGCUGGCUGCAUGAGGUUAGCUUUUAGCUAUUAGCGUAUAGCUAUCAGCUGAAAGCUAAUCUCGUGUGGCGAAGGUAACCCGUUAAGCAUACCGCCUGGGGAGUACGGCCGCAAGGUUGAAACUCAAAGGAAUUGGCGGGGAGGCACACAACCAGAGGAACAUGUGGUUUAAUUCGACACAAAACGAAGAACCUUACCAAGGCUUGACAUGCUAGCGUUCUAUUUCCUGGAAACAGGAGAAAUCCGCAAGGAGGCUAGCACCGGUGAUGCAUGGCUGUCGUCAGUUCGUUCCGUGAGGAGUGCCCUUAAGUGGGACAACGAACGCAACCCCUGUCGUCUGUUAUAAGUGUCAGACGAUACUGCCCUACAGUUUUGUGGGGAGGAAGGCGGGGCAGACGUCAAGUCAGCACGUCCCUUAUGUCUUGGGCUACACACAUGUUACAAUGGACCAUAACAAUGAGCAUUGCAAGCCAGCGAUGGCAAGCUAAUCUCUCAAAUUGGUCCUCAGUGGGGAUUGGAGUCUGCAACUCGACUCCAUGAACUUGGAUUUGGUAGUAAUCGCGGGUCAGCUAUACCGCGGUGAAUACGUUCUUGCCUCUUGCACACACCGCCCGUCAAACCAACAAAGUCGGAGAUAUAUGAACUGCGGCGCAUGCCGUGGGAGUAUAUAGUCGGCGAUGAGGGUU